CAGCUGAAUUAGACUCCUCCUUUUCCAUGACUCUCCUCUCCCAUAAUUCUCUUCUGUGUCUCUCGUGCUUGUAGAAAAUGAUGUUUGGAGUUUUGGUGGAUGGAAAGCUCAGCGUAAUUCAUCACUAUGCUUUGGCUUCCAGAAGGCCAAGCCUAGUUUGUGGUGCAUUAAUCAAGGUGCAGUCCUACUGUCAAAAGGAAUGCUUAUCACUCUACAGUCAGGGGAGGUGCAGCUGCACAUCCCAUGUCAUGUGAAUUUUUGGGUGGAUAGAGAAAGAUGACGAUGACCUAGAAGGCAUGGCUUAAAUUGACACAGAGAAGACUUUUUGUCAAUGCAAACUGAGAGGCUGUCAGCUAAAUGGGCAGAUCAUUUCCACCAGUGCAGAACUGUGCUUUUCAUCAUUUGAGGAGUGCCAUACAUGUGAUACUCUCUGAGGGAACAGCAGUAUUGGACUUCCUGAAUGGACAGGACCUGUAUUUCUGUCCUGAGGACUUCAGUCACGCAAAAGCCUUUGACAUUCACUUUUCAUGUGAAUACUGUAGUACAAUGAAUCUACUCUGUCAUGCAUCUCAUAAGGAUGCAGGAAUCGUCCUUUCAGAAAGGAAAAAUACAAUAGCCAUUGAUGUAUUCCAAUGUGAACUUUCUAGCUGCCACCCUACUGUGCAGUAAAAUUGGUGUAGUUUCAAACCAAGAGCCAAAGCCAAGAACAGUAACACAGGGUCUUAAUGAACUAACAAAAAGCACUGGAAAGGAAAUAAAUACUACAAUACUCCAUCAGAAACAUUGUGCAGAAAAAUCUCCCCCAGUGCAUGCAGUUGCACUAUAUCAGUGGUAAGUCAAGAUCUGUAUGCCAAUCUAGUUUGAACGUGCUCCAAAGCAGGAGGGCUGUACCAGCAACCCUUUGCCCAUUUACAGCUCCUUUCCCCAGUUACACCCAAACUGCUUAACCUUAGGUACAAUAAAAGGUUCAGCUCCUCUUUUAAAUGUUGCAAUAAAGGUACAAAAGUUCUAUUGACUCAGGUGAGACUGCCCACUAAUGUCCAUUUCCACUGCCUUGGCCAUGUUACAGAACCAGCCCUGAACACACACAGUCCACUGCUAAAAGACAAAAGCACACGUUCCAGAGACCAAGUCCACCCAAGUAAUGAGAGCCUCAACGACAUGCGCUUGGUUGCUAACAGCAUUGCACUCUGCCUCUGGUGUCCUGUUUUGUGCCAAAGACAUUGGAGGCACAGUGGAGGAGCAGGCAGAGGAUGAGGAAGCACAGCGUUUCUUGGAUGAACCAGAUUCUCCAAAGACCUUUCUAGAAGCCUCCUCCUGAUGGGCUGGCAGAGGCAGAUCUCCCGAUAUCUCAGCCCAACACGUACCAUCCACAUCAUCUCUUGCUGUCUGAGAAAACUAAAGGCAAUAAAUUGCCACAAACCAGAUUAUAAUGCAGGCACCCUGGUAUCUGCAAGCUAACCUCUUCACAAAGACUCUAUUCUUGUUCAAAAGGUUCCUCGUUUUGUUAAGUAGGAACAUUUGGUAGAUUGCUGGAAUUGUUUAUCUUUAAUGAGAGCAAGUUUCAAGUAGUAGUAGUAACAGCAGCAUAAUUAGCAUUAUAUAACACACUGCUGUAACUUGAUCAAAGGGGUUUCCU
ensembl:lncRNA